rnacentral:lncRNA from 1 species
GGUUGUGGUUCUGCAACACACAAUCUAAAAAAGUCAUCCAGUAUUUUGGAAAGAGAGUUGCCUUCAUGAAACAACUACAGAAAUGGUUGGGAGAGAAGUGUAAAUGGAAUCUUUGUUACAGAGCUUCCAGAGAUGGUUGGAGUUCCCAAGAUUUUCACAAACAUUGUGACAAUAAAGGAUCGACAGUGGUUUUCGUAAAAGCCAAUGAUUGUAUUUUUGGAGGAUACACUGACCAAUACUGG